rnacentral:rRNA from 1 species
ACGCUGGCGGCAGGCUUAACACAUGCAAGUCGAACGGUAGCAGGAGGAAGCUUGCUUUCUUGCUGACGAGUGGCGGACGGGUGAGUAAUGCUUGGGAAUCUGGCUUAUGGAGGGGGAUAACUACGGGAAACUGUAGCUAAUACCGCGUAGUGUCGAGAGACGAAAGUGCGGGACCGCAAGGCCGCAUGCCAUGAGAUGAGCCCAAGUGGGAUUAGGUAGUUGGUGGGGUAAAGGCCUACCAAGCCUGCGAUCUCUAGCUGGUCUGAGAGGAUGGCCAGCCACACUGGAACUGAGACACGGUCCAGACUCCUACGGGAGGCAGCAGUGGGGAAUAUUGCGCAAUGGGGGGAACCCUGACGCAGCCAUGCCGCGUGAAUGAAGAAGGCCUUCGGGUUGUAAAGUUCUUUCGGUAUUGAGGAAGGAGUGUAUGUUAAUAGCAUACAUUAUUGACGUUAAAUACAGAAGAAGCACCGGCUAACUCCGUGCCAGCAGCCGCGGUGAUACGGAGGGUGCGAGCGUUAAUCGGAAUAACUGGGCGUAAAGGGCACGCAGGCGGUUAUUUAAGUGAGGUGUGAAAGCCCCGGGCUUAACCUGGGAAUUGCAUUUCAGACUGGGUAACUAGAGUACUUUAGGGAGGGGUAGAAUUCCACGUGUAGCGGUGAAAUGCGUAGAGAUGUGGAGGAAUACCGAAGGCGAAGGCAGCCCCUUGGGAAUGUACUGACGCUCAUGUGCGAAAGCGUGGGGAGCAAACAGGAUUAGAUACCCUGGUAGUCCACGCUGUAAACGCUGUCGAUUUGGGGAUUGGGCUUAAAGCUUGGUGCCCGUAGCUAACGUGAUAAAUCGACCGCCUGGGGAGUACGGCCGCAAGGUUAAAACUCAAAUGAAUUGACGGGGGCCCGCACAAGCGGUGGAGCAUGUGGUUUAA